rnacentral:rRNA from 1 species
GUUUGAUCAUGGCUCAGGACGAACGCUGGCGGCGUGCUUAACACAUGCAAGUCGAACGGUGAUCUCGGUGCUUGCACCGGGUGAUCAGUGGCGAACGGGUGAGUAACACGUGAGCAACCUGCCCCUGACUCUGGGAUAACCCCGAGAAAUCGGAGCUAAUACCGGAUACGAGACGCACGGGCAUCCGUAGCGUCUGGAAAGAAUUUUGGUCAGGGAUGGGCUCGCGGCCUAUCAGCUUGUUGGUGGGGUAACGGCCCACCAAGGCGACGACGGGUAGCCGGCCUGAGAGGGCGACCGGCCACACUGGGACUGAGACACGGCCCAGACUCCUACGGGAGGCAGCAGUGGGGAAUAUUGCACAAUGGGCGAAAGCCUGAUGCAGCGACGCCGCGUGGGGGAUGAAGGCCUUCGGGUUGUAAACCCCUUUCAGCAGGGAAGAAGCGAAAGUGACGGUACCUGCAGAAAGGAAGGCGCCGGCUAAACUACGUGCCCAGCAGCCGCGGUAAUACGUAGGGCGGCAAGCGUCGUCCGGGAAUUAUUGGGCGUAAAGAGCUCGUAGGCGGUUUGUUGCGUCUGCUGUGAAAACCCGAGGCUCAACCUCGGGCCUGCAGUGGGUACGGGCAGACUAGAGUGCGGUAGGGGGAGACUGGAAUUUCCUGGUGUAGCGGUGGAAUGCGCAGAUAUCAGGAGGAACACCGAUGGCGAAGGCAGGUCUCUGGGCCGCAACUGACGCUGAGGAGCGAAAGCAUGGGGAGCGAACAGGAUUAGAUACCCUGGUAGUCCAUGCCGUAAACGUUGGGCACUAGGUGUGGGGCUCAUUCCACGAGCUCCGUGCCGCAGCAAACGCAUUAAGUGCCCCGCCUGGGGAGUACGGCCGCAAGGCUAAAACUCAAAGGAAUUGACGGGGGCCCGCACAAGCGGCGGAGCAUGCGGAUUAAUUCGAUGCAACGCGAAGAACCUUACCAAGGCUUGACAUACACCGGAAACAUCCAGAGAUGGGUGCCCCGCAAGGUCGGUGUACAGGUGGUGCAUGGUUGUCGUCAGCUCGUGUCGUGAGAUGUUGGGUUAAGUCCCGCAACGAGCGCAACCCUCGUCCUAUGUUGCCAGCACGUCAUGGUGGGGACUCAUAGGAGACUGCCGGGGUCAACUCGGAGGAAGGUGGGGAUGACGUCAAAUCAUCAUGCCCCUUAUGUCUUGGGCUUCACGCAUGCUACAAUGGCCGGUACAAAGGGCUGCGAUACCGCGAGGUGGAGCGAAUCCCAAAAAGCCGGUCUCAGUUCGGAUUGGGGUCUGCAACUCGACCCCAUGAAGUCGGAGUCGCUAGUAAUCGCAGAUC